GACGAACGCUGGCGGCGUGCUUAACACAUGCAAGUCGAGCGGUAAGGCCCUUUCGGGGGUACACGAGCGGCGAACGGGUGAGUAACACGUGGGUGACCUGCCUCUAGCUCUGGGAUAAGCCUGGGAAGCUGGGUCUAAUACCGGAUAUGACCUCGCGGUGCAUGUUGCGGGUGGAAAGCCUUGUGCGGCUAGGGAUGGGCCCGCGGCCUAUCAGCUUGUUGGUGGGGUGAGUGGCCUACCAAGGCGACGACGGGUAGCCGGCCUGAGAGGGCGACCGGCCACACUGGGACUGAGACACGGCCCAGACUCCUACGGGAGGCAGCAGGUGGGGAAUCUUGCGCAAUGGGCGAAAGCCUGACGCAGCGACGCCGCGUGAGGGAUGACGGCCU
rnacentral:rRNA from 1 species